UUACGGACAUAUCACGUUGAAACAUUGGUUCCCGUACGAUCAACGAAGUUAAGCAACGUCGAGCCUGGUCAGUACCUAGGUGGGUGACUGUUUCGGAAUACCAGGUGCU
rnacentral:rRNA from 1 species